UACAGAGGGUGCAAACGUUGCUCGGAAUUAUUGGGCGUAAAGAGCGUGUAGGCGGCCAGGUAGGUCUGCUGUGAAAACUCGAGGCUCAACCUCGAGACGUCGGCGGAAACCAUCUGGCUAGAGUCCGGAAGAGGAGAGUGGAAUUCCUGGUGUAGCGGUGAAAUGCGCAGAUAUCAGGAAGAACACCCGUGGCGAAGGCGGCUCUCUGGGACGGUACUGACGCUGAGGUGCGAAAGCGUGGGGAGCAAACAGG
rnacentral:rRNA from 1 species